rnacentral:rRNA from 1 species
AACGAACGCUGGCGGCAGGCUUAACACAUGCAAGUCGAACGCGUGUAGCAAUACACGAGUGGCGCACGGGUGAGUAACGCGUGGAUAUCUGCCUUUUGGUUCGGAAUAACCCCGGGAAACUGGGGCUAAUACCGGAUGGUUCCUACGGGAUAAAGAUUUAUCGCCAAAAGAUGAGUCCGCGUACGAUUAGCUAGUUGGUGAGGUAAUGGCUCACCAAGGCGACGAUCGUUAGCUGGUCUGAGAGGACGAUCAGCCACACUGGGACUGAGACACGGCCCAGACUCCUACGGGAGGCAGCAGUGGGGAAUAUUGGACAAUGGGGGCAACCCUGAUCCAGCCAUGCCGCGUGAGUGAUGAAGGCCUUCGGGUUGUAAAGCUCUUUUGGCGGGGACGAUGAUGACGGUACCCGCAGAAUAAGCCCCGGCUAACUUCGUGCCAGCAGCCGCGGUAAGACGAAGGGGGCUAGCGUUGUUCGGAAUUACUGGGCGUAAAGCGAGUGUAGGUGGUUGUCCAAGUUGGAUGUGAAAGCCUUGAGCUUAACUCAAGAAAUGCAUUCAGGACUGGGC